UACGUAGGGUGCAAGCGUUGUCCGGAAUUAUUGGGCGUAAAGGGCUCGUAGGCGGUUUGUCGCGUCGGGAGUGAAAACUCAGGGCUUAACCCUGAGCCUGCUUCCGAUACGGGCAGGACUAGAAGUAUGCAGGGGAGAAUGGAAUUCCUGGUGUAGCGGUGAAAUGCGCAGAUAUCAGGAGGAACACCGGUGGCGAAGGCGGUUCUCUGGGCAUUACCUGACGCUGAGGAGCGAAAGUGUGGGGAGCGAACAGG
rnacentral:rRNA from 1 species